GUCGACGGAACGACAGGAGCUUGCUCCUGGGCGUCGAGUGGCGGACGGGUGAGUAAUGCAUAGGAAUCUACCCAUGUAGUGGGGGACAACCUGGGGAAACUCAGGCUAAUACCGCAUGAGCCCUUCGGGGGAAAGCAGGGGAUCUUCGGACCUUGCGCUAUUGGAUGAGCCUAUGUCUGAUUAGCUUGUUGGUGGGGUAACGCCCCACCAAGGCGACGAUCAGUAGCUGGUCUGAGAGGACGAUCAGCCACACUGGGACUGAGACACGGCCCAGACUCCUACGGGAGGCAGCAGUGGGGAAUAUUGGACAAUGGGCGCAAGCCUGAUCCAGCAAUGCCGCGUGUGUGAAGAAGGCCUGCGGGUUGUAAAGCACUUUCAGUGGGGAGGAAAAGCUCAAGAUUAAUACUCUUGAGUCUUGACGUUAUCCACAGAAGAAGCACCGGCUAACUCUGUG
rnacentral:rRNA from 1 species